UACAGGGGGGGCAAGCGUUGUUCGGAAUUACUGGGCGUAAAGGGCUCGUAGGUGGCCAACUAAGUCAGACGUGAAAUCCCUCAGCUUAACUGGGGAACUGCGUCUGAUACUGGAUGGCUUGAGUUUGGGAGAGGGAUGCGGAAUUCCAGGUGUAGCGGUGAAAUUCGUAGAUAUCGAGAGGAACACCGGUGGCGAAGGCGGCCUUCUGGACAGUGACUGACGCUGAGA
rnacentral:rRNA from 1 species